GAAGGAAGGAGGAAUAGAAUAUAAGUAAUCUCUUUGUUCCCAUGGCACUUGCCAAGUGCAGUACAACACGGCGGACAAUCGUGUACUCGCUGGUUGUAUCUUUCCUGGUUCUUGCUAUAAUGUGUUCUACCUUGCCAUCAUGCCAUGCAAGCAAUGAGGUGAAGUGCAAGCCUCUAGAUCCAUGUGAUGACGCUGGAUGCAAAACUAUAUGUGCGGGUACAGGCAUGCCUUUUGCCAGUCCCUUUUGUAAGGAGACCCAUCCUCCACUAUGUUGCUGCAUAGGAUAGAAACAUAAGUUAACGGUUCCUUUGCAAGAACUAUGCAAUGCUAAAUGAUUCUAUGCAUGUAACGCAUAGAAGCCAAUCUAAAUAAAGAUGCUUGUUUUCUUUCAACCAAAGUGGUGUGUUUGACACACUGAGAUUGGUCCAAAAUUAAAGACCUUCGCUAUAAUUGACAACGGUUUUGUAUAACAAUAUAUGUGGCAUAUAUGAACAGCAAUUUGAUU